rnacentral:ncRNA from 2 species
GCGGCGAGCGAAACGGGAUUAGCCCAAACCAGAAGGCUUGCCUUCUGGGGUUGUAGGACACUCUAUGUGGAGUUACAAAGGAACGGGGUAGAUGAAGAGGUCUGGAAAGGCCCGUCAGAGAAGGUAAAAACCCUGUAGUUGAAACUUCGUUCCCUCCUGAGUGGAUCCUGAGUACGGCGGGACACGUGAAAUCCCGUCGGAAGCUGGGAGGACCAUCUCCCAAGGCUAAAUACUCCCUAGUGACCGAUAGUGAACCAGUACCGUGAGGGAAAGGUGAAAAGCACCCCGGAAGGGGAGUGAAAGAGAUCCUGAAACCGUGUGCCUACAAGUAGUCAGAGCCCGUUCAUGGGUGAUGGCGUGCCUUUUGUAGAAUGAACCGGCGAGUUACGAUUGCAUGCAAGGUUAAGUUGAAGAGACGGAGCCGCAGCGAAAGCGAGUCUGAACAGGGCAAAUCAGUAUGCAGUUGUAGACCCGAAACCAGGUGAUCUACCCAUGUCCAGGGUGAAGUCCAGGUAACACUGGAUGGAGGCCCGAACCCACGCACGUUGAAAAGUGCGGGGAUGAGGUGUGGGUAGC